GUUGCCGUCACCCCCAAACAAACAAUUAUGGGAUCUAACCCUAACCCUGAUUCUUUCUGCCGCCCACACCCAUCGCACUGUCUCCGACUAUUACCCAUCCCCCACUCUCCACGUUUGCAGUCACCCGCCCUCGGCGUCUUCCGCUCUCCGCCAUUGAUGUCUCCGGCUAUCCACGAUCGGUUUAUUCCCUUCUCCACCCUCCAUGAAUAAUCUUUGCUCUCACGCCUCUCUAUAUCGUAGCUUCCCCGUUUCCCUUUCACAGCCCUUGGCGUCUCCGGCUCUCUGCCUUCAGCGCUUUCAUGUUCAAAUCGCUUCCGUUUUGAAGGUAUCCUCACCAUCAAAUACAAAGCAUUUCUACUCAAUGACUGGAGUUCCAUUUUCUCAAAGCACUGUAAUUGUCAUGAAUGACAAAUUACUUAUGUGAUUUCCAUAAAAAAAUUGCAUACCAUUUAUUUAGUUUCUCAUAGCUCUGUUGUGUAUGGCAGAAUAGUUGGCAGUAGAACUGUAGUUAGAUUACCUCAGUAUAACAGUGUAAUAUAAGAUUUGUAUUGAAUUAAGAUGUUGUAUUUGGUAGAUUAGCUACUGUUGUAUAAUUGUUUUAAUGAAAUGAGAAGAUCUGUUUGAAAA